rnacentral:rRNA from 1 species
UACGUAGGGCGCAAGCGUUAUCCGGAAUUAUUGGGCGUAAAGAGCUCGUAGGCGGUCUGUCGCGUCGGAUGUGAAAACCCAGGGCUCAACCCUGGGCCUGCAUUCGAUACGGGCAGACUAGAGUUCGGUAGGGGAGACUGGAAUUCCUGGUGUAGCGGUGAAAUGCGCAGAUAUCAGGAGGAACACCGGUGGCGAAGGCGGGUCUCUGGGCCGUAACUGACGCUGAGGAGCGAAAGCGUGGGGAGCGAACAGG